GUUUGGAAAUCUCAUCGGCGGUCCACAUAUUGCAGCGAGUUUUAAACAAACUAGCUAUAUGGUGGCAGCAGCCUGUUGUGAAGUUAUACAUCUGAAGAGGCACCGAAUUGGUGGAGCAACCGACCUAUGAGUUCAGCAAACCCUCCGACUGGCAGACGGCAUGUUCCUGUGACAAACUGGAGCAGGCGGAUCCGCUUCUCAUUGUCCAUAUCCUUUACCACCUGUAUAACACACAGGUAAGACAUGUCAAGGAUGCACAUAGUGAGAUAUAGACAGUCUCAUAUACACACAAGAUGCUGUGAAGAGAGGCCACCAUACCUGCCAGAACCAGUGUAUCUGCUUGCUGUUCUUGGUAUAGUGCCGAUAGAUGGUGUUCUUCUGCCAGUCACUGAGGUCUAUCUCCUGCAUGCCACAUAGCAUCAGCUGGAGGAAGGAAUGAGACCGUACCAUUAAUCCACAGUCAAAGAGAGGGAAUCUGAAACAAAUAGUCCCCUCUACCAACUUAUAAGACUUUGCAAAAGCUUCAUAACCUAUAACACCGCCCUAGCUAACCCAGCAUGUUCUUGCAGACUCUUUAUAUACCUCCAGCUCUUUCUCAUCAAAGUAGCGUAGCCACUCCAGAGGCACGACCUCAUUGAAGCCAUCCAAGAAGGCCUUGGUCUGCUCCUCCACACCACGCAUGAACCGCCAGUCUGUCAGCAGACUGAGGAAACAGGGAUGAGAUAUAGCAUUUUCUAAGCAACAAGGGAGGAUAUUUAUUGAAACAAGUUGAGUGUCAACAUGAAACAACAUUAAUGCUAGUCUGUGGAGUACCAAUGUCUGGUAUCACAGGGAUUGACAGGCAUACAGACAGGAGUCAAAGUAGUGACGGAGAUGGCUGACCUGAUGUACUCCUCCUUGUUCUCCGAGGUGACCAGCUCAUUCUCUCCAUCAUCCUUCAGCUGGUGGGUGGACACCUUCCCUAGAAUCUCCAUAUCCUGAGCAAAGUACAGCUCCAC